rnacentral:snRNA from 1 species
CUUGCAACUAGAAUGAUAGAGAUGAUUAGCAUGGUCCCCUCCACAAGGAUGACAUGCAAAUUGGUGAAGCAUUCCGUAUUAAA